UUUUCUUAGAAUAUCCCUUUCUUAUUAUUUGAGGAGCAUUAAAAAUAAAUAACCUUUAGUUCAUGUGUUUAUUACAAGUGUGCCAUUUCUUAUGUGGCAACUCCACAAGCUCUCUCACCAAUUCUAUUUAAAACCCCUUUGUUAACUAGAGUAAUUACACAACAUGCCAUUGAUCAAAACAUUAUAAUUACCUUAGUUUUGUCUACAUUUAUCACAUAUAUACGUUGAUACGUAUUAUAUCAAACCUUAUCAUUUAUUUCUUGCGUUAGUUACCUUAACCGAAAUUCUACGUAUUACAUCAAAGAUUUUAAAAUUAUGUUAAUUACCUUGACUGAAGUUUUUUCAUUAAUUUGUUUUAAAACAAAAACAUUACUGACAUACGUAGUGGUCCAAUUUUUUUAUUCAAAAUGAAUAUAGAUGCAAAAAAUUAAUGUGCGAUUAUCAACCAAAGUUUGUUUUCUGAAAAAUCCUAAAAAGUAUUUGAUGAUCAAUACGUGCUCAAGUGAUUGAUUUUCUUAAAAAUGCGGAAAAUAUUUGUUCUCUUAAGAAUAUAUGAAGAAAAAAGCAUUUUUUCUUAAAAUAGUGAAACAGAAGAACCAUGCAUAUGACAUAUACUUGCUCCGUUUCAUUAAAUUGUUAGAUGAUCCCCGCCUUACGAUUAUAGAAACUAAGGUACAAUACGAUUUUCUGGCAUACACAUAUAAAAACUUACCUUAGGUGAUCUAUCAUAAUUAAGAUUUUAACGCCAACUUGCAUAAUGCAAAUAAUGGCUGAGCAAAUUGCACAUGAUUCAAACGUUAUUUGUAAGGACGAAAUUGAUUGAUGAUUGGGAAAAAGGAAACUUCUAAUAACUUUGACAUAUUUUUAAAUUACAAAUUUGGUAAACUGAUGGUAAUAAUAUGUGAUUUGCGAGGACUUGACUUUUGUUUAUAAGGAACGUAGAUUAAGGUUCAAAUUAUUAUAAUCAAUUAAUAAUCGUGAACGUUCUUGAAUUUGUUCAAUUGCGAUUGAUAAAAGGAAGUUUGCAUUAACUAUUUACAAUAUUAAAAUAAUUCUCGACUAAGAUUGGAGCGCAAGUUAUGUGUAAUAUUCGAUUUAGUUACGACCAUUAUUUUGAAUCCAUAUGACCACAUGGCGAUUCCUUUUUAGUAUAAAUAUACGGCUUCUAUAAUUCAGAAAACUCACUACACAUUUCUUUUCGACUUUGCUCAUAUCAAAACAUUCUCUCAAGCAAUCAAAUGGUUGGUUUUAACUCUGUUUCCGAUUUGAAACCACUCAAGACAUUGUUUCUUUUAUAUUUUAUUAGUUUAUUGUUUAUGUUUCGUUUUAUUUUAUAUUUAUAAUUUAUUUUAUGCAAACAAAUAUACAAUUUUUAAACAAAAUUUUACAAGCUUAAUUUAGAUUGACAUAUUAAAUUUCCUCUAACCCUUACUUUAUAACAUAUAGUAUUUUUUGCUAUGACUUUAACUUUUGUUAUGUCUACAAAUUAAAAGUGAUAAUAUUUUGAAAUCUAUUUAUUCCGCGUAGGGCGCGGGUUAUCACCUAGUGUAAUAUUAAGGAACAGAGGGAGUACAAUUUAGCUUGACUUGAUUACAACUUUCUUUAGUGGAGAUCUUUUGCCGUUUAUAAUAGAAAUAUUAUCUUGAAAAUAUAUUUUUGAGACACAAAACUAAAUUAGCUCCACCAAAUAACACAAAAAUCUGAAUCACUCCAAAACAGCCCCUGUUUUCAAGCUAUCACAUUAACCCAAGCGUAUCAAUCUUUCAAAUCCAGUCUUUUUUUUUUUGACGUCGAACGGCUAUUCUAUUACUCAAGCUUGAGGUGGUCUGGGUAACCAGACCGGAAUAGAACAACCAAUGAAAAGUAACUCUCUACGAAAGGUCCUAGCAGUUUUAGCCAAAAAAUCAGAAAACUGGUUGCACACUCGUGGCACAUGGGUGAUUUUGAAGUCCGGGAAGCAAAUCUGCAGCGUCUCUAUCUUCUCCAAUUCUGUCGCGAAACUUGGCCACUCUUGGGGUUCCUUUAUCAUUGCUAUCAGCUCCUUGCAAUCUGUUCCAAAGCUCUAGCAUGGCGAGUGUUGUAGCAUAUUCUCCAUCGCCCAUCGCAGUGCUUCUACCUCCGAAUGCAAUGCUGAUUCACAUCUAGUGAAAUUCCGUGUUCCCAUAAGUUGUGUGUUCUCCCCGCUAUCUAUCCAGACCCAUCCACAUCCACUAAAGCGAUCAGAAGCUGUCCAAGAUCCAUCUAAUAGGCAAAUAUUACCCAAGCUUAAGGCUUGGCUUUCCUCAUUAUUGCUGACCUGAACUACUGGUGGUAUUAUGUCGUUCACUCAAGCUUAAGGCUUGGCUUUCCUAAUUUAUUUUAUUCAAAUCCAGUCGAUAUUCUUAUAUGAUCAACCAGAAUAUUCCUUUCAUAUAUACUAUCACUAAAUUAUUGGAAACAUGUUAAUCUUUUUAUUAAUUUCCAUUUCCUUUACAACAUUAUUUGACAUACCAAUUUAAUUGGAACUAAGGGUAUGACUGGUUUCUCCGCUACGUUGCUAGCGGUUAUUGGCGUUUUGCGACAAUCAAUCAAAUCGUUCUGAACUAUUUCAAACCGCUCUAAACUUCAUAAAUUCAAAAUGUGGUUCCAACUAGCAUUUGCGGUUGCGGAUAGUUGCGGAAUGAUAAUAUUUUUCUAUUUUAAAAAACAAUAUAAAUGCAAAAAAAUAAAACUAUUAAUCAAAAAUUUUAAAUUGGAAUUAUAAAAAUACUAAAUUAUAUCUAUUAUAUUUUAGCUAAUAUUAUAAAAUUUUAAAAUAAAAAUAUUUUCUAUAAUUUUUAAAAAUUUAAAACUGUACCGGUUUUAGGAAGCAACCGUCUUUCAUCGUUCAAAGGCGGAUAGCCUAGCACGCAGUGUCAGGAAGCAACCGUCUUUCGUCGUUCACAUGGAUCAAGAUCUACCAGUUUGGUUCACAGAGUCAGUAUGAGUCUGUAUAAGUUGAUGACAAAAAAAAACUAUAAUUUUCUAAUUAUAAUUUUAUGCUUAAUAUAAUAUUAUGAUUUUUGAUAUUUUUAUAAUUAUAUAAAAUUUAAAUAUUGUUAAUUUAUUAUUUAACCUCUGAUAUGUUUGGUAAUUAACCAAUCAUAAGUAUCUCGUACCAAUUUAUAACCGCAGAACCAGUCAUAUAAAUCUCUUAAAACCGCUAGAAACCGCAACCAUCCGCAUUCACAAACUCUCGCAACCGCUGCCGCUGCGUUUGAACCAGUCAGGCCCUAAGUCAGUUAUCUUUAUCUUUAUAUAUAUAAUAGAGUUUCCUCUCUCCUAGGCGUGCCACGUAGGCGGACACGUCAGAAAGUCGAAAGCUCUAGGCGUGACACGUGUCUCAUCUCCUUAAACUUUGCGUUUCAUUAAGUCAAAUAUUUCAUUUGUUUGGGCUUAUUCCGUUUGUGCUUUCGGGCUCUGUGGAGUCUAACCCUAAUUUUGUUUUCACGAAACAUGAAACUUUAUGGUUUGUCUCUCCCCUUUCGGCCACUUCUGAUUUCUGACCACGAUCGUAACGAUCGAUCGUCUCUCCCCUUCCUCUGUCACCUUCAAUGGUGUUUCAAGAGAUUGUUUGUCUCAGAUCUCUGUCCCCUUCAAUGGUGUUUCAGGAGAUUGUUUGUCUCAGAUCAAUCUGCAGCCGCGUCUCUUUGUCUUUCUACCUACUGAUUAUUAAGUGAUGUUGUCCCAAUCCUUGGAAUAAGCGGAAACCACAUCAGAUGACUGAGCAGGUAGGUGAGAAUCGAAACAAACUUUUUGUUUUUCUAUUAUCUUUCGUGUUGUACACUUCUGCUUUGCUGGUCUGGAUUUGAUACUUGGGUAUUAACCACCCAUGUUUUAUAGGUCGCUCUUUUUGGAUAUGAUUACACCAAAGAUGUGGGGGCUGGUCAGACAAACUUCUGUUUAUCAUUGAUUCUAUUGAAGGUUACUGUCAUCUUCUCAGUAUCAUGUAUAUGUAGUUUCUCAUUCUGUUGAACCAUGGCAGCUUGAAGAUUAUCAACCACCAUGCCAUCUUCAAAUGGAGUUACAAAACAGAGAAAUAUACUCAGGAUUUCCCACUACAAAGACCUUGACGUUAGGUGUUGCAACUGCGUUAAGAGCUUUGUCUUGCUCCGCGCAACUAUCUGUGCAGUAAUGUCCGACUAGGCAGCAUGUUCUAUUACAGUGCCUCGAGGUUUUCACCAAUCAGAAGAGACCAUUCCACAUCUUGGAACACUUCAUAAGGAUAUGUUCCUAUAUCAACUUCUCUCAACCAAGGGAACAAGGAAUCCUCGAGUUCCAUUGCAGAUAAAGCGAUUAUCUGACCCAAGAAAACAGUUCUAUGCUGUUCAGGACUUACCUUUGAAAAGAAGAAUCUGAUUUUGGAAUUUGCUGAAGUUUCUGGAGUUACAAUCUCGAGAAAAUGGGAGCCAAGAGUUACGCAUGUAAUUGCAUCAACCAACGAAAAUGGAGCCUGCAAAAGGACACUCAAAUUCAUGAUGGGGAUCCUGGAGGGGAAAUGGAUUCUGAGCAUUGAUUGUAAGCUGUGUUUAAAAUGGCGCUCGCCUUUUGCGCCAUGGCGCAAGGCGCACGCAGGCGAUGGCUCUGUCGCCAUGUACCACCUAGGCGAGGGUGGGUUCCCUAAGGCGCGCGCCAUGGGUGCCUUGUCGAGAAGGCGAGCAUGGCAAAGGCGAGCGUAAGGCGAGAUUAAUGUAAACCGUAUCUAAACCAUAUAAGCCUUAAUUAAUAAUUAAACCUUAGACUUUUUUGCAAAAAAAAAAAAAAAAUUAAACCUUAGACUUUAAAAAAACUUAACCGGGGAAACUUAAACGCCAAACCCUAGCUUUAUAAAAGAGAAGUUACCUAAAACAUAAACAUAGAUCUAGAUCUCAAGGUUUUUUGCUUAAGGUUAGAACUCUCUAGUAUAAUAAAGCUUGCAUCUUAUUUAAAUUUAGUAUAUCAAUCAUU